CCGCGCCGUCGUCUCCAGCAUUCGCGCCGAGGCCGACGUCGCGACCAAUCCCACCCCGGCGACGCUGAGUCGAGGCACACCGGCGUCAAGAUCACGUCCUUCCAGCGCACUCUACAUCACCGCUCUACAUCACCAGAGGGCAAAAAGCUGAUGCAACCUCAUCACAGUUAUAGUCAGCAGCUUGUUUAGGUCCUAUUUGGUUGGCAUUCAGUUCAAGCAAACAGAAGGGAGGUGAUGGUCAGGAGCUUAUCAGGUCAUUGGUUGGCAUUCAGUUCAAGCAAACAGAAAGGAGAGCAUGGUCAGUAGCUUUUUAGGUGGUCCAGUAACUAUAUAUACUGAAUUGUGCAAAAAUCAAGAUUUCUAGAAGAUAAUGUGCUAAGCGCACGACUAUUGGCAUAAUAAGUUUUUUUUGAAAAAGAGUGCUUAUUGACUGUUAUGCUUCAUAUAUUCUUUUCUGUAUUGGCAAGGAAAUAAUAAGCAAGGCGACCUACAA